CUGGUCUGUGAUGAACAGUUACCGCCCCAGUCUGAGUUUUAAUGAAUGACUGGUAUGUUCUGAGACCAG